GGCUCAGGAUGAACGCUAGCGGCAGGCUUAACACAUGCAAGUCGAGGGGUAACAUUGUGCUUGCACAGAUGACGACCGGCGAACGGGUGCGUAACGCGUAUAGAAUCUGCCUUGUACAGGAGGAUAGCCUUUAGAAAUGAAGAUUAAUACUCCAUAAUGUAUAUAAGAGGCAUCUCUUAUAUAUUAAACAUUUAUGGGUACAAGAUGACUAUGCGUCCUAUUAGCUAGAUGGUAAGGUAACGGCUUACCAUGGCAACGAUAGGUAGGGGGUCUGAGAGGAUUAUCCCCCACACUGGUACUGAGACACGGACCAGACUCCUACGGGAGGCAGCAGUGAGGAAUAUUGGUCAAUGGAGG
rnacentral:rRNA from 1 species